GAUUACGGCCAUACCACACUGACAACGCCCGAUCUCGUCUGAUCUCGGAAGCUAAGCAGAGUUGGGCUGGGUCAGUACUUGGAUGGAUGGUGACCGCCUGGGAAUACCCGGUGCUGUAAGCA
rnacentral:rRNA from 1 species